AUGUCUGGGAAGUUGUGGGAAUAGUGAUGCCUUACAAAGUGCAGGGAAGAGCCUGGCAGGACACAGGCCCUCUCCUUCUGGGUUUAGGAGAGCCAUCCUAAGACUAGGGCUGGCUCUUACAGGUAGAGAGGACAAU